rnacentral:rRNA from 1 species
UAGGGAAUAUUGGGCAAUGGAGGCAACUCUGACCCAGCCAUGCCGCGUGAAGGAAGAAGGCCUUCUGGGUUGUAAACUUCUUUUAUACAGGAAUAAAAGACCCAUGCGUGGGGCAUUGAAUGUACUGUAUGAAUAAGCACCGGCUAACUCCGUGCCAGCAGCCGCGGUAAUACGGAGGGUGCAAGCGUUGUCCGGAUUCACUGGGUUUAAAGGGUACGUAGGCGGCUAUUUAAGUCAGUGGUGAAAUGUGUCGGCUCAACCGGCAACGUGCCAUUGAUACUGAAUAGCUGGAGUGUUGUAUAGGUGGGCGGAAUUGAUGGUGUAGCGGUGAAAUGCAUAGAUACCAUCAAGAACACCAAUUGCGAAGGCAGCUCACUGGGCAACAACUGACGCUGAGGUACGAAAGCGUGGGGAGCGAACAGGAUUAGAUACCCCCGUAGUCC